rnacentral:misc_RNA from 1 species
AAUUUCUCAAGCUAGGAUGGAUUUUUUCUGUCCUUAGUUUGGUUGUUGGGCUUUGCCGUGUCCCCUUCAUUGGAAUGGCUGGCCUUAAAAGCAUUAGCUGAUCCUUGUGUGGCACUGGUUCUACUCAAUGUGAUAAUAUUCUGAUCAUUGAGGACAUCUUUUAGGAUGGCCGGGCUUCAUUUGGGUUGCUUCUAAACCUGGUUUUACAGUUUGUUUCAAUCUGUAUUCCACUUUUCAA